CCCGCUGAGUUUAAGCAUAUAAAUAAGCGGAGGAGAAGAAACUUACAAGGAUUCCCUUAGUAACGGCGAGCGAACCGGGAGCAUACCAGCUUGAGAAUCGGGCAGCUGUGCCAUUCGAAUUGUAGUCUGCAGAGGCGUCCUUAGCGACGGACCGGGCCCAAGUCCCCUGAAAAGGGGCGCCUGGGAGGGUGAGAUCCCCGUCCGGCCCGGACCCUGUCGCCCCACGAGGCACCGUCAACAAGUGCAACAUUCUACUAAAUUGUAUC
rnacentral:ncRNA from 1 species